rnacentral:rRNA from 1 species
AUACGUAGGUGACAAGCGUUAUCCGGAUUUACUGGGCGUAAAGGGCGUGUAGGCGGUCUUGCAAGUCAGAAGUGAAAUUCCUGAGCUCAACUCGCGCGCUGCUUCUGAAACUGCAGGACUUGAGUGCUGGAGGGGAUAGCGGAAUUCCUAGUGGAGCGGUAAAAUGCGCAGAUAUUAGGAAGAACACCGGUGGCGAAGGCGAGUAUCUGGACAGGAACGGAAGGUGAGGGGCGAAAGCGUGGGGAGCAAACUGGAUUAGAUCCCCGGGUAGUCCACGCCGUAAACGAUGAAUACUAGGUGGAGGGGGUAUCGACUCCCUCUGUGCCUCAGUUAACACAAUAAGUAUUCCGCCUGGGGAGUACGGCCGCAAGGUUGAAACUCAAAUGAAUUGACGGGG